rnacentral:tRNA from 1 species
GUUGUCGUGGUCAAGUGGUUAAGGCGAUAUACUAGACAUCUUUUGGGAUCUUCUCGCACAGGUUCGAAUCCUGCCGGCAUCG